CCUACGGGAGGCAGCAGUGGGGAAUAUUGGACAAUGGGCGCAAGCCUGAUCCAGCACAUGCCGCGUGUGUGAAGAAGGUCUUCGGAUUGUAAAGCACUUUUGGCAGGGACGAUGAUGACGGUACCUGCAGAAUAAGCCCCGGCUAACUUCGUGCCAGCAGCCGCGGUAAUACGAAGGGGGCUAGCGUUGCUCGGAAUGACUGGGCGUAAAGGGCGCGUAGGCGGCAUGCACAGUCAGAAGUGAAAUUCCUGGGCUCAACCUGGGGACUGCUUUUGAUACGUGCAGGCUAGAGUGAGGAAGAGGGUUGUGGAAUUUCCAGUGUAGAGGUGAAAUUCGUAGAUAUUGGAAAGAACACCGGUGGCGAAGGCGGCAACCUGGUCCUUUACUGACGCUGAGGCGCGAAAGCGUGGGGAGCAAACAGGAUUAGAUACCCUGGUAG
rnacentral:rRNA from 1 species